AUUGAACGCUGGCGGCGUGCCUAACACAUGCAAGUCGAGCGGUAACAGGUGUAGCAAUACAUGCUGACGAGCGGCGGACGGGUGAGUAACGCUUGGGAAUCUGCCUAUUAGUGGGGGACAACCCAGGGAAACUCGGGCUAAUACCGCAUACGCACUACGGUGGAAAGCCGGGGACCGCAAGGCCUGGCGCUAACAGAUGAGCCCAAGUCGGAUUAGCUAGUUGGUAGGUAACGGCCUACCAAGGCGACGAUCCGUAACUGGUCUGAGAGGACGACCAGUCACACCGGAACUGAGACACGGUCCGGACU
rnacentral:rRNA from 1 species